rnacentral:rRNA from 1 species
GUUGCAGUUAAAAGCUCGUAGUUGAAUUUUGGCCUUGGUUUGUGAGGUUCGGCCUUCACUGGUCGGUACCUUUACGAACCGGGCUCCACCUUCUGGGUUAGCCAGUUGUUACUUCGGUGCAGCUGGUGAACCAGAACUUUUACUUUGAAAAAAUUGGAGUGUUUAAAGCAGGCUUUCAAGCUUGAACAUAUUAGCAUGGAAUAAUGAAAUAGGACUUUGGCCUUAUUUCGUUGGUUUCUAAAGCCAAGGUAAUGAUGAAUAGGGAUAGUUGGGGACAUUAGUAUUCAAUUGUCAGAGGUGAAAUUCUUGGAUUUAUUGAAGACUAACUUCUGCGAAAGCAUUUGUCAAGGAUGUUUUCAUUAAUCAAGAACGAAAGUUAGGGGAUCGAAGACGAUCAGAUACCGUCGUAGUCUUAACCAUAAACUAUGCCGACUAAGGAUCGGAUGGUGUUAUAUUUAUAUUGACCCAUUCGGCAUUUCAGCGAAAGCCAAGUUUUUGGGUUCCGGGGGGAGUAUGGUCGCAAGGCUGAAACUUAAAGGAAUUGACGGAAGGGCACCACCAGGAGUGGAGCCUGCGGCUUAAUUUGACUCAACACGGGGAAACUCACCAGGUCCAGACAUAGUAAGGAUUGACAGAUUGAGAGCUCUUUCUUGAUUCUAUGGGGUGGUGGUGCAUGGCCGUUCUUAGUUCGUGGAGUGAUUUGUCUGGUUAAUUCCGAUAACGAACGAGACCUUACUCUGCUAAAUAGCCAGCAUGACUUUGGUCGUGUCCUUUUUGGCUUCUUAGAGAGACUAUCAAUGUUUAUUUGAUGGAGUUUGAGCAUAACAGGUCUGUGAUGCCCUUAGAUGUCUGGGCCGCACGCGCGCUACCACUGAU